UUUUGAGGGUCUGAUUAUGAUAGAAGCUAUUUGAAGAGUAGGAUUAUAGAGGGAUUUUAUAGUAGGUUGGGAGAAGCCCAAUGUGUUUAUGAAUGUCCCUAUUUGACAUCCAACUAUAUUGUUGUUCUGUUGUCAAAGCUCGCUGUUCUUUUUUUUCUUUUUCAUGUUGCAUACAUAAAUAUGCUAGAAGGUGAUCUACUGAUCUAGAAUGUGAUCUUUGGGUUGUCAAAGAAUGCAUCUAGGUCCUAGAUUUGGCCCAGUCUAAUCAUUAAGAGCCGAGGACUUUAGGUGGGGAUGCACACAAACAUGAUAGUUUAUAGGCUGUAUGCUUAUUCUUUUGUACAUUUGGAAAUGAAGUUCAGAGUAUGGCAUAGGAAUGGAGGUGUCAACAAGUGGUGACAUCUAUAGCUAUGAAAUCCUGCUAUUUGAGAUGCUGAUAGGCAAGAGAUUGAUAUAUGACAUGUUUAAAGACGACCUGAACUUGCAUAAAUUUGUCAAAUAAGGCUUUGGCCUCCUUAUCCUAUUGGAUGGUGAUCAGAGCUGAGUCUUCUAGCCAUCCCAGCCAGCUUUUGAGCAACAGCACUUGGAGCCUAUUAUUGAAGAGGAGCUUUUGAACGAGCACAUGGACACUAUUGAAGAGUGUACGACUGGCUUUGAUUAUCCAACAAGAUGCUACCAGUCUACUUUGUUCUUGGGAUUUUAUGAUCUGUACCUAAAAUUAUGCCUGACCGGGACGGCUAGAAGACUGGGCUCUGAUCAAGAUGCUACCAGUAGACUUUGUUUGUGGGAUUUUAUGAUUUUUACUAAUUUUGAAUGCUAUGGAAACUUCUCUAAGUAUAUCAUGUCUUUAUUCAUUUGAAAUUCAGCUUCACCCAACCAUUCAAUUACACUGCUCAAUCUCAUCACCUCCUUGAGCUCCAUAUUAUUUCCCCAUGAAAAACUGCAUGGCAUUGUGGCUGCCAAUUACACCACGCAUGCACACAAAAGCUCUAGAUCACUGUCUUGCCCCACAUGAGCUCCUUGAAAUGAACAAAUACAGUUAGACAGUCACAAACUAGCCUUAC